AAUGUCCUUUUUGAGAUCCUGAAGCUGUUGACCCUGAGUGGGAGAAUGCCUUAUCCAGGUGUAGUCUUGUGUACACCUUUCCAGACCCAUAGCAGUGGUUUGGUUGCAGAGCUGUGAUUAUAUGGACAUUCUCCACACUUGGUAUACAGCAGUUCAGACAUGCAGCCCCAUUGGAAUGUGCUGAUAGAGAUAUACUUUUAAUUAUUCGGCUUCAUUAUAUUAUGAUUGGAUUUGAUGAUUCAUGU